rnacentral:rRNA from 1 species
GACGAACGCUGGCGGCGUGCUUAACACAUGCAAGUCGAACGGAAAGGCCCUGCUUUUGUGGGGUGCUCGAGUGGCGAACGGGUGAGUAACACGUGAGUAACCUGCCCUUGACUUUGGGAUAACUUCAGGAAACUGGGGCUAAUACCGGAUAGGAGCUCCUGCUGCAUGGUGGGGGUUGGAAAGUUUCGGCGGUUGGGGAUGGACUCGCGGCUUAUCAGCUUGUUGGUGGGGUAGUGGCUUACCAAGGCUUUGACGGGUAGCCGGCCUGAGAGGGUGACCGGCCCCAUUGGGACUGAGAUACGGCACAGACUCCUACGGGGGGCAGCAGUGGGGAAUAUUGCACAAUGGGCGGAAGCCUGAUGCAGCAACGCCGCGUGCGGGAUGACGGCCUUCGGGUUGUAAACCGCUUUCGCCUGUGACGAAGCGUGAGUGACGGUAAUGGGUAAAGAAGCACCGGCUAACUACGUG